UUUAUGAACCGGUUGGUUUGUAUCCGGUUCGGCGCAAAACCGAACCAAAUUGACAAACCGAUCGGUUCUUUCACUUAAUACUAAAUAAAUUUUAAAAUAAAAAACAUAAAUAAGUAAAAAAUAAAUCUAAAGCCUAAAAUCUCUCACACACUCCAACACAACACACCAUCUUUCUCACACCAGCCGACACACACACACCUCUACACUUUCACUUCAUCUUUCACACACACACACACACACACACACACACACACACACACACACACACACACACACACACACACACACACACACACCCGUCACCAUCUCUCUCACUUUUGCCGACACACACCCCCUACCCACCACCAUCACUUAUUAGUCAGCUUGUCUUCGUCGCCAUUGUGGUUGUGUCAACUUGUCGUCGUCGCCGUAGCUAGCCCGUCGCAGUUCGUCCCGUCGCCCUCAUAUUAGCCUUGCCUUCUGUUUGUCACGCUUCUGUUGUCGGUAGCCUACCGAUGCUAUAUCGCCGGUGGAGUUGUGCAACAUGUAAUGAGUUUUUAUUUAUUUAUUUAUUGAUUAUUUCUUAAAUUAAAUUGAUUUUGAUGGAAAGAUUUGGAAGCAAAUGGAAGUUCAUGGAGUUGGACUUCAUAGAUUUGAGUCUAAUUUGUUGGGUAUUUUAUAAAUAAAUGGUUGAAUGAAUCAAGAUUUUCUUAUUUUCUUCUGGUUUUAUUCACUUAGAUGUCUAAUUAUUAGAAUUCAAUACAACCUUCGAUCUAAAAUCAAUGAGCAGUAGUCACCAACAAAAGGGCUUCAUGAUCCAGAUCUAAGCUAAUUAAAACCAAAUCAACCCAAACCGAACCGAACCGAACCGAAAUUUAAAUUUGGUUCAUAUUCGGUUCCAAAUUUAAAGAACCAGUCAGUUUCAAUUUGUUUGGGUCUUGGCCUAAACCGAACCGAACUGGAUAAUGCGCAGCCCUAGUAAUAAUAAUCCCAAGUCUAAAAUCAAGUAAGUCCAAACAUUAAUACAAUACUGAUACUAAGUAAGCCCACGUGCCAUAUUUUUCAGAGCAAAAUU
rnacentral:lncRNA from 1 species